UAAUAUGUUGUCAGUAUGCAGUGUCAGAUCUAAUAACUGAUCUGGGAUCAAAUGUGAUCAUAAACUGUGAUCUUGAUGGAAAAGAUGUUUAUUGGAUUUUACUGAAAGCAGCAGAUCCUCCAACAGUUAUUCUACAGUCUUUCUCAAAAACAACAACACCUUAUUACCCUAAUAAAUCAUUCAGAAAGAAAUAUUCAGUGCAGUUGAAACAUGGUCUGGUUAUUAAUAAUGUGACUCCUGAUGAAUUAGGAGUUUAUUACUGUAUGAACACAGAAACACCUCCAAAACUCAGCAACAGCACCAGAAUAUACUUCAACGAAUCAGCUCAACUAACUGAGUGUUACAAUCAGAAACGAGUGGAAUUCACUGAUCACAAUCAUAUCUGCUCUGAUGAAUGGACUUCUGCUCAUUCUGCUGAUUGGACUAUUAAAAGUUUUUGUAUUUGGGAACAGAAGGUCUACAGAUCAAUCAAAACAACUCAACACUGAUCUACAACAGACACAAGUUGCAGAGCAGCAUCAGGAUCCACAACAAUUACAGUACGCCGAGGUGGAACAAUCUUAACGUCUAUUCACAAACUAUUGGGUAGACCGAUAUAACCAGUAAAACAUUAACCCUUUAAAGAAAAGAAAGAAAAAGCUUAUUUCCAGCUUUUUUAUUAAACACUUUAUUUGAUUGAAUGUGAUAUAAUUUAUAAUAUUAUUGCUUAAUUCUGGGAAAAGGUGCAAAAGUUUGGAAAUCAUGUACCUAAUGAUAAUUAUGUUAAUGUUUUGAGAACCAUAGGUUUGUAUUUCUCUACAGAUAUGUUGUAAUAAUG